UACGUAGGGGGCAAGCGUUGUCCGGAAUCAUUGGGCGUAAAGAGCGUGUAGGCGGUCCGGUAAGUCAGCUGUGAAAGUCAAGGGCUCAACCCUUGAAAGCCGGUUGAUACUGUCGGGCUAGAGUCCGGAAGAGGCGAGUGGAAUUCCCGGUGUAGCGGUGAAAUGCGCAGAUAUCGGGAGGAACACCAAUGGCGAAGGCGGCUCACUGGUCCGGUACUGACGCUGAGGUGCGAAAGCGUGGGGAGCAAACAGG
rnacentral:rRNA from 1 species